rnacentral:lncRNA from 1 species
CUCGGUUUCUCUGCACGUUCGGGAACGCCUUCUCCCCCUUCAUUCUCCCAUUCCCAGUGUUUUCCCGCUUCUCCCCGGGCUCACCUGUUUAUUUCCAUCAGCUAGAGCUCGUGGUUUUUUAAUAUAGGCAUGAGAGUCUGUUUCUUUUAUUAGAAACAUUAUUGGGGAGAGGGGUGCUUUGCUGUAAUUUGUGCUGGUCCAGGUCGGUUUUCAGGAAGGGGGAGGGGACUUGGCGGAGACGCCGGCUCCUGGCCGCAGCUGACCCCAGGGCUUCUCCCUGCCUUCCUGUGCGAGGAAUUCUUUCCCUCACUCUGCUACCCGCACGCCAGCUGCCACCUUCCUGGAGAAAGACCACACCUGUGCUUAUCCCUGCUUUGAAGGAGAGGUGAGCUGAGAAACCAGGGAAUCCCCUGCUCUCCAGGGUUCUUAGUUAGUCCUCUCCGCAAUCCCAGCAUUGGCCAAAAAUUGCUGCUUUCACCUGCUGAUUUAAUUUGGCAUGUCUGUCCCCAGCCCCCCUUUCCCCCGGCAAGUUGUGAUCUGCAGAUGUUUUGGGAUUUUCUCUUCCCUCUGGACCUGUCCCCCACCAACCAGCAAAUAGCUCCUGGGCCUAGGUUGAGGGAGAGAGAGAAGUGACCCCCUUUGGCCAGUGCGCUGUUUUUUAUUCCCCUCUGGGUCUUCUAAUGGAAUCUGCUGUCCCUCCGUAGCCCCCUUUAUUUUCCCCUUAAGCUUAACCCAGAGCCAGGCCUAAGCAGCCUGUCUCUGGCUUUCUUUCCCCAGGCCCCACCCUGGCCCCUUUUGCUUUUCCAGCGCCAAAAAAAACGCCUCCCAAGCAGAAGACACACCCAGCCCAAGUCUAACCAUUCCAAAAGGGAGGAAAACACAGAGGAAGAGCAGGGACCCAAGGGUCUCCUGUCCUGAAUAUUCCAACAGCGUUUCCCUCUAAAAGCCUCCUAGCUUUAUAAUCCCUUUAUUCUGCUUACCAGUCGACCCUCCCCUCCUCUUUGCCCCUUGUUCUGUGAUAGAUAUUUGGGGAGAGGGGUGGAGAAAGAGGUUGUCACCCUCUGUUCCUUACAGUGAGGCAUUUUUCUUUUUCUCAGUCUUUUCAUUUAUUAGAUGUUUAGCAUGUAAAAUAUGUAAAUCUGUUUGCAGGCUUAUUUGAACUUGUUUUCUUGCUGGCUAAGGAAUAGCUGAUAUUCUAUAAAGGGAAGGAGGGGGGAAAAGAUCAAAAGUAACACUCUGAGUUUUCCCCAUUUGAGCAUCCCCAGAGUUGCCAGAGAAGACCCUCCUAUAAAAACCAACAGUCUCCCUUCCAUGACAUCACCACCUAAGCCCUUCCAACUUUAGCUUCAGAACAGGAAGAAGGCUCAAAAUAGAACUACCUUAGGAAUCCAGCUCCUUGAAAAGAUCAACUUUUAAAUCAGCUGCAGGAGGAACACAAUGAACUUUGACAUGGGGAGUGAGAAGGGAGAGAAGACUGUAUAGUGUUCAUAAUUGGUUCCUUUGAGGGAGGGUUGGGGGAUACUUACCGUGUAUUUCAGAAAAGCUUUCCUCUAGAGUUGGGUACCUAGACCACUGAAUGAUAAAUAGGAUGGUUCAAGAUUCAUUUAUUGAAUUAUUCAUAAGUUUUUGUACGUCAACAAUAACAAGCACGUUUCAGAAUAUGAAUUAAAGAGGGGCCUCUCUGCAGAAUCUGCUCUAGAUAGAGAAGGUUGUUUCAGGAAGCUAGGAGGGCACUUGAAGACAGAGAACCUGAGGAUGCAGUGACAGCUGCUGUGAGUAUGUAAGUUGAGAGGCUCAUAAACAAUAAUUGUGAUAAACAAUAAUUGUAACUUUUGUAGGUGACUGAUACCCUGGACAAAGAAGUAAGGAUGUCAGGAUUUUCCACCUCUACCUUGGAAAUUAACUUCUUGUCUUUGAAUCUCACUCAGUGUCUCCAUUCAGUCCCUGAAUUGAGAUAUGCUUUCCUCUCUGAGCUAAAAUACUCAGUCUUUUGGAAGGGCUACCUAAUAAACGAUAAUCACUGAAGUGUUGACAACUUAAAGAUUGGAAGUGGAGCAGAAAAUACUUGGUAUAAUUUGAGCACUUGGUGGGUGCUGUAAGAUGACUUUCUGGUUGAUGGGGUAACAUCUUUUACUCUGGUUCGGGUUUAAAAGAAUCCAGGUGACAGAGACAGGAUACCUGCCCUAAUAUGGUAGCCACUAGCCACGUGGCUAUUAACCACCUGAAAUAUGGCUAGGGUGAGGAAGAGCUCAAUUUUAAAUUUUAUUUAAUUUUAGACUUUGAUAACUUGAUUUAGUUAUUGGAAAGCUUAUUUAUAUUUGGAAACAUACUUGAGCUUACGCAUCUACUUUUGAAACUAAGUGUUUUGAAAUCCAAACGCAAAUUAAGUAUUUUGAUGAAAAUUUAGAAUUGGGAUAUGUAAGUGCAAAGUAAUCUUCAGAUUUCAAAGAAUGCAAAAAAAGUAGAAUAGCCCAUUAAUUUUAUGUUGAUUCCAUGUUCAGAUGAUAAUAUUUUAGAUAUAUUGGGUUAAAUGAAUAUGCUAUUAAUUCCACCUGUUUAUUAGUGUGGCUACUAGAGAAUUAAAAAUUACAUGUGUAGCUUGCAUUAUAUACUUCAUUGGACAGCUCAGGCCUGCAUUACUCCUUUUCAUCUAUGAAUUAAUUUCUUUUCUUUUUUUCUUUCUUUUUUUUUUUUUUUUUUUGAGAUAGAGUCUCUCUCUGUCUUCCAGGCUGGAGUGCAGUGACGCGAUCUUGGCUCACUGCAACCUCCACCUCCCAGGUUCAAGCGAUCCUCUUGUCUCAGCCUCCAGAGUAGCUGGGACUACAGGUGUGUGCCACCACGCCCGGCAGAUUUUUUGUAUUUUUAGUAGAGAUGGGGUUUCCCCACGUUGGCCAGGCUGGUCUUGAACUCCUAAGCUCGGGUGAUCCAUCCGCCUUGGCCUCCCAAACUGCUGGGAUUACAGGCAUGAGCCACUGUGCCUAGCCCCAUGGAUUAAUUUCAAAAGUGGUGACUGUAUGAAAUAUUGUUAUUUCAUGUUUGUGUUUCUAUUUUCCACUGCUGUGUUCCAUGUGAUGAUUGGGGACCCCAAGUAUUACAUUAUUACUGUUAUAUUAGGGAGAUUAGUGUAAAAGUCCAGGGUUCUAGAACGGCUAGCAGGGGUGUCAUGGGAAAAUUGGGAUACCCACAUACCCGGCUAUUGCUGCUUUUGUAAAAGGAUCCUGAACAUAGCAAAAGGUACCGGAAAACAAUGUGUGGCAAAGUAACAAUUGUGACACCUGGUGGCAUUUUAGUGAUUCUACUCAUCUGUCACUCACUUCCAUUUAUUUUUUCUUUGCUUCAUCUACUUUCUGUCCCCCUCCCCACCAAAUCACGGCUCCACUCGUGGCAUUUGGGCCCACAAGGCUGCUGACUCCUUUCCUCCAAAAAAAGUACAAUGCUAACGUGAAUAGAGGUAGUGCUGUCUUUGGGUUUUGUUUUGUCUAAUGAGAUUCAGAAAUUGCACUGGAAGGAACUUAGGAGCUAUUCGGUGCUAUCCCUUUAUUUUAUAGAUGACAAACUGCCAAACACCUCACCUAAGACCAUAUAGACAGAGACUGGAAUUAAACAUACUCUUGUUGAUAACUGUUUAGAGGCUCCCUGAGAAAUGGAGAGGUUCAUCAAUUAAUCAAUCAAUCAAGUAUCUGUUGAGCUAGCAUUUUGUGGAAAUGACCACUAAGUGUUGUGAAGGGACAUGAGUAAAACAGUUUCUGACUUUUUUAGAAAGAGUCCUGUUGACUUGAGGAAAUAAGAUAUAAACAGCACCAAAUUAAAUUGCAGUAUACAACACAGCACUUAAUGAGUGCAGUGCCACUGUGGCAUGUGUUACUAGUUAGUAGAAAUGUGUUCAUUUUACAGAUGUAGGAAUAGAAGCUUCGAGAAGGGUGGAACCUGCAGGGAAGUGGAGUGUAAUUGUGUUCCUGGAACAGCCCAAGGCUGUAGAAUUGGAGGUCAUUGCAAGUCUUUGGUAUUGGCUCCUUUAGCUGUCCAUUAAGGGAAUUUGAAAAUCUGAGACCCAGCAUUUUCAAAUGGCAGUGCUGUAGUAAUAAGGCAAUCAUAGAUUAAUUGGAGACCAUCAGGGUUUUUAGAGAUGUUUAGCCAGGGGUGGAUCAUUCCGAAGUUAGCUGGCAUAUAAAACUGACUUGUGAGCAAACCAUAAAAUCUAAAAUCCGGGGGGUGAGAGUGGUGAAAUGUGAUGUAGAGCAAAAUCAGAAAGUAAAUUAACUGUGGAGUAUACAGUUGGACUAAAAAUAUUUGUGCUGAGUACAUGUUUGAAGGGGAGAGGCCCAUAUAAUGUAAUAUAUGGGCCAGUCAUGUAUUUAUAAAUUUUUAGUCUCCUGGAGCCUUUUUGGACUAAACUCUUGGUCAACAUGAGGAAGAAAGCUCAGUCUUCUCUUUGUUACCGUGUCCAUAGGGUUUUUUUUUCGUCCACAUGGACCUUAUAAAGUUACAUAGCAUGAGAUUAAUUAGGGCCAGUGCUCAAAGUCAGUAAAAUGAUGACACCUCUUCUCUAAUCACUCUCAGUUAAUGCUUCUCUUUGAGAAUUGGGGCUAACUUUGUAUAGGGCGGUGGUCCUUGACAUUUUCUUGCCUUUCUGCCUAUUUCUUUUUCCAUAAAAGAGAAAAAAAUUCUGUAACCUGCCACCUCAUCAAUCUUUGGCACAAAUUAGUUUUUAAAAACUCAGUAUAGCAAAGUUUUGCAAUAAAAUGCAAGUAUACAUUCUGUGUACUUGUGACAAAGCAGUAUUGGACAUUUGAGCAACUUUUGCUGACAGUUUAUAACAUCUCAGUGUGGUCAAAUUUGGCCAUUUUAUAUAGUAUCACUGAAUUAGAUGAUAAUUUUCAAAUUGGAAAACAAAUCACACUAGUUAAAAGACCAGUGGAUUUAAAUACACUAAACUAUAGUUUAAAAGUAUUUUCAAAUAUUCUGCUUGGCCAACAACUUACGGUGCCUUCAGUUAUUUAAUAUAUAAUCAGAUAUUCAAAGGUUUAAAACAAUAUUUUCAUCUUAGUUUAUAAAUAUGAGGGAUGUAGCAUGUUUUUUGUGCUUUUAUUUGUACUCCACAUUGAUUGAUCGCUUGAGAAAAGGUCUUUGUCACCCAGGCUGGAGUGUAGUGGUGCAGUCAUGGCAGCCUCAGCCUUUCAUGUUCAAGCAAUCCUCCCACCUCAGCCUCCAAAGUAGCUGGGACUACUGGCCCUGCUCAUACUAUUUUUUGUAGAGACAGGCUUCCACUAUGUUGCCCAGGCUGGUCUUGAACUCCUGGAUUCCAGCAAUCCUCCUGCCUCAGCCUCCUAAGGCGCUGAGAUUACAGGUGUGAGCCACCAUGCCUGGCCUUGUACUCCACGUUAUUUUAAAAGUUCUUUGGUGUGCCAGUUUUCUAUAAGUGCCUGGUUUUGUAGAUAAUAUUUGGUAUAUGCGUUAUGAAGAAAUUGUUCCUAGUUGUAUCAUUUUUAACAUAGAAGAAGUAGUUUAAAAUCAGUUUGGGUCCUGGAAGAAAGCAUUUUACAUCACUGUUUUCUCUCUUCCUUAGUAUGCAGUUAUUUUUUCUUACUGUAGCAUGAGUACCUGUAGUCACUUGUUUAUAAAUUUAGACAGUUCAGUUCUUAGACGAAACAUGUUGAAGAAGAAAUAUUUCUGAUGGAUUUAAAUUUUCAAAAAUGCACGUUUAUAAACAUUUUCAAGAAAAAGCAAGACACAUUUUUGAAACAUUUAUUUUAAAAAUACCAUUUUGAAAACCCAUAUUUUUCUUCCUUGAAACUGCUUUAGAAUCUGAGAGAAUAUUAAUUUAAGUAACCAUUCACAGAAUAAUGACAAUUUGCUGCUUGUUAUUAGGGAUGCUUGGCUUCUUUUUUUUUCUAAUUUAGGUAAAAAAAUGAAAUGAGAGAAAAAUAAGGAGAAAAAGGAAGUAUCUUUUACUUUACCAAAAAUGUUUAGUUGUUGCAUGGGUUUUGGUGAUGGCUAGUAGAGUGAAUUUCAACUUUGCAGUACACUUCCUUCGUCUUUAUACUUCAUAUUUAGACAUUGAAUCACACUAAUAUUUUGGUGAAGAACAGUCUAAUAACUACAAAUAUGUCAGGAUUAUUUAUUUGUCUCCAUACUUACCCAACCUUCAGUGUUUCAGGGUAAGUAUUCAGUUUUCCAAAGCUGACAGAAUUGUGGUCAAGAAAUAUUAGUUGAUAAUCUUAUCCUUUUUCGUGGAACAGCUAUCUAAAAUUUUACUCUAAAAUAAUCACAGUAUCUUUGUUCACGUAGCAGAUGUUUAUAAUUCGGGUAAAAAUGUGCAACUAUUUCCAAGAACCUUAGGUUAUGGGAUCCAACUGUGAUUUUUUUUUUUUCUUUAAUCUUCGUUGCCCUCUCGUGUUUCAACUCUGUAUUACAGUUGGCUAAGACCUAGAUGAUGACCUCCUUAAUUUUUAGAUAUUUUUGCAUUUUAGGCAAUGUUGUUUUUAAUUUGUGUGUAGGUGGAUUGUUUCAUUGGAUGUUGCUUUUCUGAAGAUAAGGUCAUUUUCAUAGUACGUAAAGUUAAUAGUUGAGUUAGAUUCACUGUACUUUUAUUUUCUGACUUCUGCUGAUCUAAAGAAUUGAUUCAUCUACCUGACUUAUUUGAAGUACAGUGCUAAUAUCUAAUAUGCAUAUAAUGAGUCUUUGAAAUUGAGCAAAUGCCUAAUGAAAACAUAAUUAUUUUUCAAAUAUCUGUCAAGUUCCACUCAUAUUGAAAUAACUUGAAACCUUAUGACAUGGAAAAAACCCAAGUGAAUCAUGGUUUUAAUAAGUUGAUAUUCUGAUGCCUGAAUUCCAAUUUCAGAAUCUUUUGUACUUUUUAUUAAAAGGAAGAAUCAUCCCUAAAAUGACUUCAGAGUACGUCUCAAAGGUACAGAUAAUUUAAAAGCAAGUGAUGUGUAUAUGUUAUUAUUACUUUUUAAAAAGGUAUUCUGAAGGUUGUCAGUAUCACCAUAGGUAUAGAAUUGACAUAAACUAUAGUGAAAAAUAUCAAUGUUACUAAUUUGAGUACAUUCUUAGCACUCAGAGCAAGAGGAAUGAAAGUCAUUUUUGCUAAUGUGCAUUUUUCUUCUUAAUUAUAAAGCCCCACUAGCUUCUGCUUCAUGAUCUCAGUUACUGAGAAAACUAAAACAAAAAGUAAAUGUUUUUAGAAAUCCUUUUGUUUGUGUAAACUGAAUAUCCAGUUGAUGGAGUUGGACAGCUAGGGUAGGGUAGAGAAAACAAAGCACUGUGUUCACUCAUUUGACAUGGUUCUGGACAUGGGUUCGCCAUAACUUAGCAAUAUAUGAUCUCUGGCAAAUCACCUAAGUUUUUUUUUUUUUUUUCUGCCUAUAAAAUGGGGUAAUAAUAUCUAAUCUAUUUCCAGAAUCCUUUUUUGAUGAAUUAAUGAAUAAUUCAUUGCCAGCCCCAUAGCGUCUUGUGAAAACCAAAUGAGAAAACAUAUAGAGCAGUUUUGAAUGUUUGGCAGAUAUGAAGUAUUAUUGUCAUGUUUGGUUAUGAGCACUUUGAAGACAGGAAUCAUGUCUUAGUUAUCUUUAUUUCCUGAACAUCUAGAAGAGGGCUUUAGAACGUAGUAGUUCCUCGGUAUAUAUAUGAAAAAUCAAUGAUUGAGGUCAGGGAGGCACAGUCAGUGAAUCCAUGCAUGGAAGAGAUAAGCUGUGAAAUAUGCUGGAAGCUUACUGCAUAUUUGAUGUAUUAGAGUGAAAACCUAAUCAUGCAGUUGUUCAUCCUCAUUAAUAUGGAUAAGUCAUGUGUUCAUCUUUCAUUCUAAUUUAAUUCAACUGGGCCUUUUAAUAUUUCAGCCUCACCACUUGCUGGGCUCUGAUCCUUCUUUUUCUUCUGCCUCCUCACGUCUCCAACCAGAAGGUGAUCUUUUAGUCCUUCACUUCAUGGGGAGCCUUCAGAGAGAGUAAUGCAGCCACCAGAAAGGAUGCCGUUGACCGACACAGUGACUGAC